UAGUUGGAUUUCUGCCGAAGACGACCAGUCCGCCCUCUGGGCGCGCAUCUGGCUUGGCCUGGGCAUCUUCUUGCUGCACUUGACUGUGUGGCGCGGUAUCCAAUAUUUCUACUUUGAGGAAAUUAGAGUGUUUCCAGCUCGCGCACGCCUUGAAUACAUUAGCAUGGAAUGAUAACGUAUGACCUCGAUUCUAUUUGGUUCGUCUCUAGAGCUGAGAUAACGAUUAAUAUGAAUAGCUGGGGGCAUUCGUAUUUAACUGUCAAAAGUGACAUUCUUGGGAUUUGUUAAAGACGGACUAUUGCGAAAGCAUUUGCCAAGGAUGUGUUCAUUGAUCAGGGGAUCGAAGACGAUCAGAUACCGUCCGUCUUAACCGCAAACUAUGCCGACUAGAGAUUGGAGGUCGUUAUCUAUAGGGCUCCUUCAGCACCUUAUGAGAAAUCAUAGUCUUUGGAUUCCGGGGGGAGUAUGGUCGCAUGGCUGAAACUUAAAGGAAUUGACGGAAGGGCACCAGCAGGAGUGGAGCUU
rnacentral:rRNA from 1 species